rnacentral:rRNA from 1 species
AACGAACGCUGGCGGCAGGCCUAACACAUGCAAGUCGAGCGCGCCCUUCGGGGUGAGCGGCGGACGGGUUAGUAACGCGUGGGAACGUACCCUUUUCUGCGGAAUAGCCUCUGGAAACGGAGAGUAAUACCUUAUACGCCCUUCGGGGAAAGAUUCAUCGGUAUCGGAUUAGCCCGCGUUAGAUUAGAUAGUUGGUGGGGUAACGGCCUACCAAGUCUACGAUCUAUAGCUGGUUUUAGAGGAUGAUCAGCAACACUGGGACUGAGACACGGCCCAGACUCCUACGGGAGGCAGCAGUGGGGAAUCUUGGACAAUGGGCGCAAGCCUGAUCCAGCCAUGCCGCGUGAGUGAUGAAGGCCUUAGGGUCGUAAAGCUCUUUCGCCAGGGAUGAUAAUGACAGUACCUGGUAAAGAAACCCCGGCUAACUCCGUGCCAGCAGCCGCGGUAAU